UACGUAGGGUGCGAGCGUUGUCCGGAAUUAUUGGGCGUAAAGGGCUUGUAGGCGGUCUGUCGCGUCUGCUGUGAAGAUCCGGGGCUCAACCCCGGACUUGCAGUGGGUACGGGCAGACUAGAGUGUGGUAGGGGAGACUGGAAUUCCUGGUGUAGCGGUGAAAUGCGCAGAUAUCAGGAGGAACACCGGUGGCGAAGGCGGAUCUCUGGGCCUUACCUGACGCUCAGGCGCGAAAGCUAGGGGAGCGAACUGG
rnacentral:rRNA from 1 species